GUAGGUGGCAAGCGUUGUCCGGAAUUAUUGGGCGUAAAGCGCGCGCAGGCGGGGUCCUUUAAGUCUGAUGUGAAAAGCCCACGGGCUCAACCGUGGAGGGUCAUUGGAAACUGGGGGACUUGAGUACAGAAGAGGAAAGCGGAAUUCCAAGUGUAGCGGUGAAAUGCGUAGAGAUUUGGAGGAACACCAGUGGCGAAGGCGGCUUUCUGGUCUGUAACUGACGCUGAGGCGCGAAAGCGUGGGGAGCAAACAGGAUUAGAUACCCUGGUAGUCCACGCCGUAAACGAUGAGUGCUAAGUGUUAGGGGGUUUCCGCCCCUUAGUGCUGCAGCUAACGCAUUAAGCACUCCGCCUGGGGAGUACGGCCGCAAAGGCUG
rnacentral:rRNA from 1 species